AACACCGGUUCCCGUACGAUCAAUGAAGUUAAGCAACGUCGAGCCUGGUCAGUACCAAGAUGGGCGACCGCUUAGGUAUACCAGUUGCUGUUA